UUCACGCCUCAUUACUCACACACCCCAAACGCAUGGAAUGAGUUGUGACGUGAGCGUGACUUUCCAGUCAGAUCGCGUUACGUAGAGGUGUUGAAUAGUUUUAAUGUGACUUGUGAGUGAGUCAUGGACUGACAUGUAGCCUGGUCUCGGCGGCAUCACCAUGUUGGAUACGGCUGAAGCAGACAUGACAGGAGAGGAGGAAUUAAUGCUGCGGGCAGAAAAAUGUGAACAGAUGAAAUGUGACUCUGGGAUGGAGUGGUGGUGGAACAGCACGAAACCAAGGAGCGCAUUCCGGGGAUGAACUCUUCCCAGUCAGUCCCUCCAUCAUAUGUGUUUGUCAGCAGCUCUGGUUCCUGACGGCGCCUCUCUCCAUCCCCCAGCAUGGUGAGGUUUCGGGCCAGUUGUGACUAAUGUACAGCUCGCUACAAAAUUCAAGUACGUCCAGUUUUGAUUUAUUCUAAAUGGAGUUUGAAAAUCUCUGUUUUUGAGCCAAAGGGCCAAAAAAAAAAAUGGAGGGACAAGAAAUGGCUCACUGAGACAACCUUCAAGGAUUGGAAACUGAGCCAAAAGGCAAUUAGCUUAACGUGUACCACCAAACUGGAGUCAAAGGGAAACAACUAGUCUGCUCAGGUUUGGUCAAAAGGCAAAAAAUACACCGAGCGG